rnacentral:rRNA from 1 species
GUGAGGAAUAUUGCACAAUGGGCGCAAGCCUGAUGCAGCAACGCCGCGUGCGGGACGAAGGCCUUCGGGUCGUAAACCGCUUUUCUGGGGAAAGAGCAAGGACGGUACCUCAGGAAUAAGUCUCGGCUAACUACGUGCCAGCAGCCGCGGUAAAACGUAGGAGGCGAGCGUUAUCCGGAUUUACUGGGCGUAAAGCGCACGCAGGCGGCUCUGUGAGUCGGACGUGAAAGCUCCCGGCUUAACCGGGAGAGGCCGUUCGAUACUGCGGGGCUUGAGGUAGGGAGAGGAAUGCGGAAUUCCCGGUGUAGUGGUGGAAUGCGUAGAUAUCGGGAGGAACACCUGUGGCGAAAGCGGCAUUCUGGCCCUCACCUGACGCUGAGGUGCGAAAGCGUGGGUAGCAAACAGGAUUAGAAACCCCUGUAGUCC